rnacentral:rRNA from 1 species
AUUGAACGCUGGCGGCAUGCCUAACACAUGCAAGUCGAGCGGAGCGGCGGACGGGUGAGUAAUGCCUAGGAAUCUGCCUGGGAGUGGGGGAUAACUUCCGGCAACGGGCGCUAAUUCCGCAUACUAUCCGAUGAGCAUAGGUCGGAUUAGCUAGUUGGUGGGGCAAAGGCCUACCAAGGAGAAGAUCCGUGACUGGUCUGAGAGGAUGAUCAGUCACACUUGAACGGAGACACGGUCCAGACUCCUACGGGAGGCAGCAGUGGGGAAUAUUGGACAAUGGGCGAAUGCCUGGUCCAGCCAUGCCGCGUGUGUGAAGAAGGUCUUCGGAUUGUAAAGCACUUUAAGUUGGGAGGCGUUACCAACAGAAUAAGCACCGGCUAACUUCGUGCCAGCCGCCGCGGUAAUAC